UAGUCCACGCCCUAAACGAUGCACACUAGUUGUUGGUAUGCGAGACAUAUCAGUAAUGCAGUAAACACAUUAAGUGUGCCGCCUGGGGAGUACGGUCGCAAGAUUAAAACUCAAAGGAAUAGACGGGGACCCGCACAAGCGGUGGAGCAUGUGGUUUAAUUCGACGAUACGCGAAGAACCUUACCUGGACUUGACAUAGUAAGAAGACUUAAGAGAUUAGGUUGUGUCUGCUUGCAGAAGCUUACAUACAGGUGCUGCACGGCUGUCGUCAGCUCGUGUCGUGAGAUGUUGGGUUAAGUCCCGCAACGAGCGCAACCCUCGUAUUUAGUUGCUAACAGGUUAAGCUGAGAACUCUAAAUAGACUGCCUGGGUAACCAGGAGGAAGGUGGGGACGACGUCAAGUCAUCAUGGCCCUUAUGUCCAGGGCUACACACGUGCUACAAUGGAGUAUACAAAGAGGAACGAUAUCAAGAGAUGGAGUAGAUCUAG
rnacentral:rRNA from 1 species